rnacentral:rRNA from 1 species
UACGUAGGGACCAAGCGUUGUUCGGAUUUACUGGGCGUAAAGGGCGCGUAGGCGGCAAUUCAAGUCAGCUGUGAAAUCUCCGGGCUUAACUCGGAACGGUCAGCUGAUACUGCUUUGCUAGAGUGCAGAAGGGGCAAUCGGAAUUCUUGGUGUAGCGGUGAAAUGCGUAGAUAUCAAGAGGAACACCUGAGGUGAAGACGGGUUGCUGGGCUGACACUGACGCUGAGGAGCGAAAGCGUGGGUAGCAAACAGG